rnacentral:rRNA from 1 species
GACGAACGCUGGCGGCGUGCUUAACACAUGCAAGUCGAACGGAAAGGCCCUGCUUGCAGGGUGCUCGAGUGGCGAACGGGUGAGUAACACGUGGGUGAUCUGCCCUGCACUUCGGGAUAAGCCUGGGAAACUGGGUCUAAUACCGGAUAGGAGCCAUUUUUAGUGUGAUGGUUGGAAAGUUUUUUCGGUGUAGGAUGAGCUCGCGGCCUAUCAGCUUGUUGGUGGGGUAAUGGCCUACCAAGGCGGCGACGGGUAGCCGGCCUGAGAGGGUGGACGGCCACAUUGGGACUGAGAUACGGCCCAGACUCCUACGGGAGGCAGCAGUGGGGAAUAUUGCACAAUGGGCGCAAGCCUGAUGCAGCGACGCCGCGUGGGGGAUGACGGCCUUCGGGUUGUAAACUCCUUUCGCUAGGGACGAAGCUUUUUGUGACGGUACCUAGAUAAGAAGCACCGGCUAACUACGUG